AGAAUCAACGCUGGCGGCGUGCCUAACACAUGCAAGUCGAACGAGAAAGUGGAGCAAUCCAUGAGUAAAGUGGCGACCGGGUGAGUAACACGUGACUAACCUACCUUCGAGUGGGGGAUAACCUCGGGAAACCGAGGCUAAUACCGCAUAACAUCGCAAGAUCAAAGCAGCAAUGCGCUGGAAGAGGGGGUCGCGGCUGAUUAGCUAGUUGGCGGGGUAAUGGCCCACCAAGGCGAAGAUCGGUAGCCGGCCUGAGAGGGCGCACGGCCACACUGGAACUGAAACACGGUCCAGACUCCUACGGGAGGCAGCAGUGGGGAAUUUUGCGCAAUGGGGGAAACCCUGACGCAGCAACGCCGCGUGGAGGAUGAAGCCCCUUGGGGUGUAAACUCCUUUCGACCUAAGACGAUAAUGACGGUACUGGUGGAAGAAGCACCGGCUAACUCUGCGCCAGCAGCCGC
rnacentral:rRNA from 1 species